ensembl:lincRNA
UAGACAUGCUGCACAGAUAUGAUAUUGGGUAGGAGCGAAUGAACCUAGAAGAACCCUGCUAUAGUAGAGUGGACUCGCCAGCAUCUCUUCAUGAGCCCCAUCUCCACGGCUUUCACUUUUUAUGAGUGACUGUGAGAGUGGCCUGAUAUCAAAAAGACUGCUUGAGCACUAGGCAAUCUGAGCUUAGGUGUUCCUAGUUUACAAAAUCAAUUGUUAAAACCAGUUGCUAAAGUAACUGUGUCUGUAGACAGUUAUAACCAGUGGUGGAAGCCUGCACACUGGUGCUAAGCGAAGCACAGAAUCCCCUGCUGAGCUGCAGUCAAGGCCCUCCUGUUCCAAACAGCUCAUUACCAGAUACUAUUGGUCCUGUGGUCAUCAGAAAUUAUAACAGAAUUGGAGAAGAUUGCUGCCAUUUGGUGCCCAGAUUGCUUCAAAAAAUUGUAGGAGACUGCCAUCCACUCUCCUCUUAGAAGAAUGGGAUUUGGCCAGAUAUGAUGAGCUGGAUUCUAGCAAUUUUCAUCAAAUGUCUGACUCCUAAUCUAGGUAAAAUUACAAAUAAUAUAUUUGCAGAUAUAGUAAAGAUGACCA